rnacentral:rRNA from 1 species
GACGAACGCUGGCGGCGUGCUUAACACAUGCAAGUCGAACGGAAAGGCCCUGCUUUUGUGGGGUUCUCGAUUGGCGAACGGGUGAGUAACACGUGAGUAACCUGCCCUUGACUUUGGGAUAACUUCAGGAAACUGCGGCUAAUACCGGAUAGGAUCUCCUGCUGCAUGGUGUGGGUUGGAAAGUUUCGGCGGUUGGGGAUGGACUCGCGGGUUAUCAGCUUGUUUGUGAGGUAGUGGCUUUCCAAGGCUUUGACGGGUAGCCGGCCUGGGAGGGUGACCGGGCACCUUGGGACUGAGAGACGGCCCAGAAUCCUACGGGAGGCAGCAGUGGGGAAUAUUGCACAAUGGGCGGAAGCCUGAUGCAGCAGCGCCGCGUGCGGGAUGACGGCCUUCGGGUUGUAAACCGAUUUCGACUGUGACGAAGCGUGAGUGACGGUAAUGGGUAAAGAAGCACCGGCUAACUACGUG